GCCGAUUUUGCGGUUUAUAUGUAUGUAUAUGUGUGUGUGUCGCGCUGCAUUUUUGCUCUCUUUUAAAACACAACAGCAGCAACAACAACAACAGCAACGAAAAUAACAACAACAAUAGCGACAAGAAAAAUUUCGGUAUUUUACAGUUAGAAGAGCAGAUUUUUCGCUACUGCUUUCUGUGCUGCCCCAGCGUUUACUUGUUCCUCAUAUAUUUUACUUUGUUAUCGCGCGUCUGGGUCCCGUUGUCCCGUCUCUUCCAUACGCACCAUCUCCACCGCCACCCUCUCUGCCGACGACGACGCUACCGCCACCAGCACCACUACCACCACCACCGUGUGUCGUCACUCCUAACUCCCCCAAAAGCCUUAGUCCCAAACACACACAGACAUAUACACACCCCCACAAAUCCCCCCUUUGUCCCAUCGUUUGUCAAUGCGGAAGAGUUGCUGCCGCCGACGCUGUCGCCGCUGCUGCUGCUGCGCUGUUAAUAUUGCUGCCGCUGUCACUGCUAAAGCUACUGCUUCGCUGAUUUUUUAAGUUAAAACUGCCGCCAACGUUGCCAUUGCCAUUAAAACACAAAGCGCAAGAAGAGAAAACAAGCAACGAAAAAAGGAUAGGAAAAUAAAGGAAUUCCAGCAACAUCAAAACGAAAAUAGAAA